rnacentral:rRNA from 1 species
UACGUAGGAGGCAAGCGUUGUCCGGAAUUACUGGGUGUAAAGCGCGUGUAGGCGGCAGGCCAAGUCUGUGGUGAAAUCGCUCGGCUCAACUGGGCGGGGUCCAUGGAAACUGGUCAGCUGGAGGACGGUAGAGGUGAGUGGAAUUCCCGGUGUAGCGGUGGAAUGCGUAGAUAUCGGGAAGAAUACCGGUGGCGAAGGCGUUCCGCUGGGCCGUUGCUGACGCUGAGGCGCGACAGCGUGGGGAGCAAACAGG